rnacentral:rRNA from 1 species
UACGAAGGGGGCUAGCGUUGCUCGGAAUCACUGGGCGUAAAGCGCACGUAGGUGGGUCGUUAAGUCGGGGGUGAAAUCCUGGAGCUCAACUCCAGAACUGCCUUCGAUACUGGCGAUCUUGAGUCCGGAACAGGUGAGUGGAACUCCUAGUGUAGAGGUGGAAUUCGUAGAUAUUAGGAAGAACACCAGUGGCGAAGGCGGCUCACUGGUCCGGUACUGACGCUGAGGUGCGAAAGCGUGGGGAGCAAACAGG